CCUGAUCCAGCCAUGCCGCGUGUGUGAAGAAGGCCUUUUGGUUGUAAAGCACUUUAAGCGAGGAGGAGGCUACUUGGAUUAAUACUCUAGGAUAGUGGACGUUACUCGCAGAAUAAGCACCGGCUAACUCUGUGCCAGCAGCCGCGGUAAUACAGAGGGUGCGAGCGUUAAUCGGAUUUACUGGGCGUAAAGCGUGCGUAGGCGGCUUUUUAAGUCGGAUGUGAAAUCCCUGAGCUUAACUUAGGAAUUGCAUUCGAUACUGGGAAGCUAGAGUAUGGGAGAGGAUGGUAGAAUUCCAGGUGUAGCGGUGAAAUGCGUAGAGAUCUGGAGGAAUACCGAUGGCGAAGGCAGCCAUCUGGCCUAAUACUGACGCUGAGGUACGAAAGCAUGGGGAGCAAACAGGAUUAGAUACCCUGGUAGUCCAUGCCGUAAACGAUGUCUACUAGCCGUUGGGGCCUUUGAGGCUUUAGUGGCGCAGCUAACGCGAUAAGUAGACCGCCUGGGGAGUACGGUCGCAAGACUAAAACUCAAAUGAAUUGACGGGGGCCCGCACAAGCGGUGGAGCAUGUGGUUUAAUUCGAUGCAACGCGAAGAACCUUACCUGGUCUUGACAUAGUAAGAACUUUCCAGA
rnacentral:rRNA from 1 species